UCACUGAUGAUGAAAACAGUCAACCAGAAUUCCUAUGAACUUAAAGGAAAAAGUUCCUGAUUAAUUAAUAGUGG
rnacentral:sRNA from 1 species